CACAUAUUAAGCAAAAUGGCUAGAAGAUUUUUCAGAGCACGACUAUGAGCCUGUCAGCCAGUUUCAUAAGGAAACUCCUUCACAAAGUUCAGGUCCUGUGGUGGACCGACCCUUGAGGCCGCCUACCACCCUGCUGAUACUCAUGGCUUUAUGUAGCUCUCUCCACUUGACUAUGGGGCAGGGCUUGUGACUUGCUUCUAACCAACAGAAUACAUCAAAGAUGAUCAGAUGGAUGGAGGCAUGUUAUUUCAUAAGUGGUUACAUAGUUACACGACAAAAUUAUAGCACCCAUCUUCCUGGAGUCUCUCUCUUACUCCCUGAUUGGCUUUGAAGAAGCAAGCUGCCCUAAUGGGGGGUGCCUAUCUUGGGGGGCCCACAUGACAGAAGGAACUGCAGGCAACUUUAGACAGCUGACAGCCAGCAAGAAAGUGACCGUCCUAGAACUGCAAGGAACUGAAUUCUGACAACAACCCAAGAGAGCAUGGAAACAUCCUUCCCCAGUUGAACCUCAGAUAAGACUCCAGCCCUGGCCAACACCUUGACUGCAAUUUUGUAGAACUCUAGGCAGAGGACCUAGCUAAGCUGGGCUUGGGUUCCUGACCCAUAGAAUCCAUGGAAUAAUAUGGGUUGUUUUCAGCCUCUAAGUUUGUAGUAAUUUACUGUGCUACAGUAGAUACAGUUUCCCACUCUUAACGCUUAAAACUCCUGACCUCAGGCCCUGUGAUCUAUUCACAACUGCAUUCCACCUGUCUGUGAGUAAUCCCAUACCAAUAUCUACGUGUAUUUAUGUGUAGGUGGUUUUAUCUAUGCCUACCUUUCCAAUACUUUGGCCACCUGAUGAGAAGAGCUGACUCAUUGGAAAAGACCCUAAUAGUGGGAAAGAUUGAGGGCAAGAGAAGGGUGGGUGGAGGAUAAGAGGAUAAGAUGGUUGGAUGGCAUCACCAACUCGAUGGACAUGGGUUUGGGUGGACUCCAGGAGUUGGUGAUGGACAGGGAGGCCUGGCGUGCUGCGGUUCAUGGGGUCACAAAGAGUCGGACACGACUGAGCGACUGAACUGAACCGGACCUGUCGAUCAUACAUUCAUUUUCAAUCACAGACCUUCAGGAAGUACUUAUUAUGUAUGAAGCACACACAGAAAUGGGUAAGUCCAGGGUUUGCUCUGAAUCGUCCACAGCCUGGUUAGGGAGACAGUCCACGGUUCUAGAGCUGAAGAGGGUCCACCUGCAAAGGGGUUGGGGGGAGGGAUAGAGAGCUCAGGAAAUAAAUGUGCCUCUAGCACUGAAUAAAUGAGUCUGCUUUCCCAGUGUCAUCUCAUUAGAGUCCCGUAAACCUCUAGGGUAGGUGCUGAUUUUACAGAGGAGGCAACUGAACCCCAGAGAAGUUAAAGGACUUGUCUUAGGUCACACACUUAAUGUGGGUCAGAUUCAGGACUUGAACCCAGUUCUGACUUCAAAUCAUUUGGAUAAUUAAGCAUUAACUACACAUUUCCUGGGCCUCCCCCUGGCUCAGCCAUAAAGAGUCCCGCCUGCCAUGCAGGAAAUUUAGAGACUCGAGUUUGAUUCAAUCCCAGGGCUAGGAAGAUCCUCUGGAAGACAAAAUGGUGACCCACUCCAGUAUUCUUGCUGGGAUUAUUCCAUGGACAGAGGAACCUGUCCAUAGCGUCUCAAAGAGUCAGACAGGGCUGAGCAGACACAUUCACAUACGUCUCCUGUGUGUUACUCUAUUCCAGUGGAAUGUCUAGUGGGAGCACUUACCUAGAACUGUCUGGGAGGGGCCGUGGUAGAAUUCUGUCUGAUUCCAAUGCCGAUGGAAUAGUGAGCUUUCUACCAUCACCUCAGGGAUGGAGAAAGAGGACAGAAGCACAGCCAGGCCUGUCUUCACCCACGCUCAGGGAGCACUCAGAGCAUUUUCUGUGAGGGCCUAAACUUGGCCUUCUCUGUCUGGAGUCAUUUUAUGGUGAUGAGGAUGCAGAGCAGUGAUGCUCAGGAACCAAGAGAAUCUGAGACUUGGUAAAAUGUAGAUGCUACGGUCCUGCCUCCAGGGAUUCUGAUUCAGCGGGGCCCAGGAAAUAUCUUCAACAAGAUCCUCCCUGGUUCUGACACAGUCACAGCACAGAGCUCAUGGACCUCGACGAUAAAAUUGCAGCUACGCCAGGCACAGUCACAGUACUAUCUCAUCGAAAGCUUAUAAUCCUGUGAGAGAUAAUGAUCUCCAUUCUAUAGCGUUCGCAGAAAGCUUCCGGGUGCCAGAGGUUACGGCAAGCACCAGGGAUGUGGCAGAAACCGCAC
ensembl:lncRNA